rnacentral:rRNA from 1 species
AUUGAACGCUGGCGGCAGGCCUAACACAUGCAAGUCGAGCGAGCGGCGGACGGGUGAGUAAUGUCUGGGAAACUGCCUGCUGGAGGGGGAUAACUACUGGAAACGGUAGCUAAUACCGCAUCCCAUCAGAUGUGCCCAGAUGGGCUUAGCUAGUAGGUGGGGUAAUGGCUCACCUAGGCGACGAUCCCUAGCUGGUCUGAGAGGAUGACCAGCCAAACGGGAAUGGAGACACGGUCCAGACUCCACGGGGGGGAAGCGGGGGGGAUUAUUGCAAAAGGGGCGAAAGCCUGAUGAAGCCAGGCGGCGGGGGUAAAGAGGGCUUUCGGGUGUUAAAGCACUUUAAGCGGGGAGGCGUUACCCGCAGAAGAAGCAACGGCUAACUCCGUGCCAGCAGCCGCGGUAAUAC